CAGUCGCCGCGGGAAUACGAGGGGUGCAAGCGUUAUUCGGAUUGAUUGGGUGUAAAGGGUGUGCAGACGGCUCAUUAAGUCACUUGUUAAAUUCUUCGGCCUAACUGAAGGUCUGCAAGUGAUACUGAUGAGCUAGAGGGUGGAAGAGAGAAGUGGAAUUCUCGGAGUAGCGGUAAAAUGCGUAGAUCUCGAGAGGAACACCUGUGGCGAAAGCGGCUCACCGGACCAUUUCUGACGCUGAUGCACGAAAGCUAGGGGAGCAAACAGGAUUAGAUACCCCCGUAGUCCCUGUCUCUUAUAC
rnacentral:rRNA from 1 species